ensembl:lncRNA novel transcript
AAGGGCUAAGGAGCACGUCAGGAGCACCCGAGGUCACUAGUUCAUGAUCCUUUCGGUCACCCGCGAGCCCUGAGCACAGCCGUGUUUACAAAGCACCCCUGGAGGAAAAGGCUGAACGGCACUUUAAAGGCCACGGGCUCCCACAGGCUUCCGUCCUCUCUCGCGAGAUCGGACUGACAACCCCCGCCCGCUCGCCCCGCUCCCGGCAUCCCCACCUUCCUUCUGGCGCCCCUCCCCUUCACCCACACGCCCCUUCUUGCCUUCCUUCUGAGGGAGCGCCUCCGAGUCAGGUGAUUCCGUCAGGCUUAAGGAGAAGAAGGCGGGUCUUCGGCAGGGCGGGUAGAGGGGACGGGCAUCAAAGAGCACUCGGGCGCUCAUGAUUGGACAAGGAGCCCGAAGGGCGGGAAGCAGUUCUGGAGGGGGCGGGACCAGAGGGCCCAAGGAGCGUUACUUCUGUAAACCCGGAGCUGUGGAAGACUGUGAUUGGCUGUCGGCUG